UCGUCAGAGAGUUUGAUCCUGGCUCAGGGUGAACGCUGGCGGUGCGUCUAAUGCAUGCAAGUCGAGCGAGAACCUCCGGUUCGCCGGAGGGGAGAGCGGCGGACGGCUGAGUAACGCGUGAGCAACCUGUCCUUGAGUGGGGUAUAACCUCGAGAGAUCGAGGCUAAUCCCGCA
rnacentral:rRNA from 1 species